GAGGACAAGCGGUGCGCCUGCGGGUUCGGGAACGUGGCCGCCGCCCUGGGGGUUGAUGUCGACCAGAGGUGCGAGGCUGCCAGCAAUGGCGACGUCGCCGAUGGGCCGUCGUCCAAGCUGAGCGAGUUGUGCAGGUAGCUGAUGGAGCAACAAUAUAUAUUUGUCGCCCAUGGUAUAUGAUUGAUCGACCAACAACAUGCAUUAUUCUUUUAAUUUACUGUUAAUUUCGUGUCUGGAUGAUUUAGUUUCCCAGUUCGUCGUCCAUUUGCUCGCUCGCUUGUGUUUUUUCUUUCUCUACUUGUGGUGUACGUGCAUGGUUCGAAUCAAAACCUGUAAUAGCGCUCUGCGCCAAUAAUAAGUAUAUAUAUACAUGUAUACAUGCUUGUCUAGUUUUGCUGUCGUCCAUUCAUGCUACUACAUAUAUUAUUCUUCUUGGUCAUCGACACGAUUUGGUGCUAUUAUAUAUUUUCAUAAAUUAUUAUACGAAUACAUAUCCCUCGACAGUGAGUCGAUAGCUAGUCGAUUAGAAUUAAGCAAAAACGAAUAGUAAUUUAGAAGGGGAUCGAUUUCCUCCUAGUCCAUAAUUCGCUUCCGUUUUUCCUAGUUGUACCUUUUCUAGAGUCAUAUGCCUGCCGGCGUGCGAAACAAAUAAGGAAUUGUUUGGCAUAUCUUCUUGGCCCGUCUCGGUGCGUCUGCAAGGCGUGGCGCGCUCUCCGGCUGCUCCUCCCUCGUUCUCGGUAAAUGUGCUGCACCGUCGGCAAAUAUGUCGCACUUAGCUUUCUUGGCCCGGCCGGCGGAGGAAGGCAAAUAUGUCGCCCUUUAUUUGUCUCGCAUAACAUCCUGGACCACUGCAAUGGCCUCGUCCUCGGCAGCGGCGAGCACUUGGGCGGCUCCGGGAUGUACGUGCGCAACCCCACGACGCGGCGGUGGGCGGCUCCGCACUACAACCACUGGCGCCCGAAGCACCGCACUACAAUGGGAGGUGCGGAGACGGCGAAGGCAGACAUGCAUGGAGCCGGAGAAGCGCAUGACGAUGGAAUUGAAUGGCCGCCGGCGACGUGGAGGUGGAGUGCCUUAUCCUCAACGGCCAUGGAGUGGGAGGAGAAGGUGUUCGUCCGGAAAUGUUGCAUACCGCUGUGGCAUGCACGGGCAGCUGCGCCCGUGCGCCUCUUCACUCUCCUUCGCUUGCCAUCUUUCGCUGUGCGGCGACGUUUCCCAAACGGUACGUACUAAUUUUUCUCUUUUUUUCUUUUCUUAUUUCUGUUCCUUUAGUUCUAUAUUCGUAUUUAUUUCCAGUUCGAAUACGCUAAUUAUAUGGAAAAUUCUAUAUAUCUAUAAUAUUAUAUUUGAGAUCUUAAUUAGAGAGAACCACUUCCGAUAAUAAUUUCAAAUACAUAAGAAAAGUAAGUACAUACAACACUACUUGUCUGAUAGAGAAGUUCAAAUACAUAAGAAAAAUGUUACAUCCAUGCAUACUACGGGCUUAGCCCGGAUACCUUAUAAAGAUACGAAACAUAAUUCAUAUCUCCAAUCUUAAAGUCUAGAUCGUCAUCAAUAUAAGUUAGAGCAUGAACUAGUGCACUCUCUAGCGCUUCAGAAUGAUAAUAAUUUGGAUAACCAUAAAUCUCAAAUAAUGGUGGGUCCGUCGCUUGAGAUGCAUUGUUGAAAGAGCUAUUAGUCUGGAACGUGAAAUCUCUAGUGCGCGUUGGGUAUCCAACGUUGUAAAUAUAUCCCAACAUUUCCACAUCUUGCUCUAGAAUCACUUGAAAGCUUACUGCUGCCCAGGUUUGGCCAUAAAUAUCCUAAAAGAAGAUAAUAAUAUUAUUAUGAAAUUUAAAAGAAGAAAUAUAAUUAAAGAUAAAAUAAUGAUUAGAUUCAUACCAUGUCAUGUCGAUUUAGAUGACAAAGCCUCUCAGCAGUCAUAAUCACACUAUUGCUUCCCUCCUCAAGUGCCUUUAUUUUAAAAUACGAGUAAUCUGGUAUAAAGUACUCAUGAUCCUUUAGCUUUUCCAGGCAUGCCUCCACAGCGGUCCUUUCAUAACUUGUCUUAAUUGCUGCUGCUCGACCUGAUGCGUCAAUUGCAACAAUCGGUUUAGGCUGCCCUGGUGGUGCUCCUCGAAUGGGUAUUUGAAAAGAGAUGUGUAGUCUUUUAAUUGGACCAACUACAUCUUGUCGCACUCUAGGAGUGGUACCACCUAACUCUGCGACAACUCGUUUAAGCCAUCUAAUAGCAUCGAUAAACUGCAUUGUAUGUAAGUAGAAUUAGAAAUUAUUCAUGUGUAGUACAAAAUCAAUUAGAAGAAGGAAAUGACAUUACUAUGUUCAGAACUGUUCCGUGGGUUCGAUCGCCUUCUGGCAUGACAAUGCCCGGAGUAGGGAAGUGAACUCCUGCAGGACGUGCCACCUCGAGCGUAGUAACAUUUGUAGAUGACAUUCCUAGGUUUGAAGUUAUCAAAUAUCCAUCAUAUUCUAGCUCAAAAAUAUAUUUAUAUAAAUAACCAUCCCUACUAGUUGAACUCGCAGACUGUGAUCAUCUCGGCGAGCAUUUCUCCGCCGGGCAACACCGUUCUUGGCCAUGGAAGAGCUCCGAUUCUACGAGGAAGAGAACACGGUCUUCCACGACCAUUGCCGCUCUCCCUCAUAGAACUAGAGCUCCUCCUUGACACCCGUUGUCGCUCGAUGGAAAACAUGCUCGCCGAGAUGAACAGGGUAUGAAAGUUCAAUAAGUACGGAUUUUUUAUAAUUUUCUAACUAUUUUCUAAGGAGGGGGUUAGCGUGGGGAGGGGUGGAGGAGGAGGGGGCUGGCGGCGAAGGGGGCUGACGGCGGCAGAGGAGGAUGACGGCGGCGAGAUGGAGGCUGGGAGGAGGAGGAGGAGAGGGGGUGGAGGGGCCGACGUGAGGAGGAGCAGAGGAGGAGGUGGCCGGUGGCGGAGGGGACCGCUGUCUGUGGGUCAGUUUGUUACGUCCCGGGGUGCCACGAUCCUUCCGGAUUGCUGCAGAGCUAUUCUGAAGGCUGUUACCUUUGGGGAGGGCACGCGGUGCACCUGCUUGUUCGGAAACGUGGUCGCAGCCCUGAGGGUUGAUGUCCUCCGGAAGUGCCAGGCUGCCAGCAAUGGCGGCGUCACUGGUGGGCCGUCCAAGCUGAAGGAGUUGUGCACGAGGGUGCCGGGUAACUAGCUGAUGGAGCAACAAU
rnacentral:lncRNA from 1 species